AGAGUUUGAUCAUGGCUCAGAACUAACGCUGGCGGCGUGCCUAACACAUGCAAGUCGUACGAGAAAGUUGGCUUCGGCCGAUGAGUAAAGUGGCGCACGGGUGAGUAACGCGUGGAUAAUCUACCCCUCAGUUGGGAAUAACUCAUCGAAAGGUGGGCUAAUACCGAAUAAUACUGCAUAACUUCUGUUGUGUAGUCAAAGAUGGCCUCUGCUUGCAAGCUAUCGCUGAAGGAUGAGUCCGCGUACCAUUAGCUAGUUGGUAGGGUAAUGGCCUACCAAGGCAACGAUGGUUAGCUGGUCUGAGAGGAUGAUCAGCCACACUGGAACUGAGACACGGUCCAGACUCCUACGGGAGGCAGCAGUGAGGAAUAUUGCGCAAUGGGGGCAACCCUGACGCAGCAACGCCGCGUGAGUGAGGAAGGUUUUCGGACCGUAAAGCUCUGUCGAGCGGGAAGAAAUGCAUAGUGGUUAAUAUCCAUUAUGCUUGACGGUACCGCUAAAGGAAGCACCGGCUAACUCCGUGCCAGCAGCCGCGGUAAUACGGGGGGUGCUAGCGUUGUUCGGAAUCAUUGGGCGUAAAGAGCGUGUAGGCGGCUGGAUAAGUCAGAUGUGAAAGCCCUGGGCUUAACCCAGGAAGUGCAUUUGAAACUGUUCAGCUUGAGUAAGGGAGAGGAAAGUGGAAUUCCUGGUGUAGAGGUGAAAUUCGUAGAUAUCAGGAGGAACACCGGUGGCGAAAGCGACUUUCUGGCCCUAUACUGACGCUGAGACGCGAGAGCGUGGGUAGCAAACAGGAUUAGAUACCCUGGUAGUCCACGCUGUAAACGAUGUUCACUAGGUGUUGGGGGUAUUGACCCUCUCAGUGCCGCAGCUAACGCAUUAAGUGAACCGCCUGGGGAGUACGGUCGCAAGAUUAAAACUCAAAGGAAUUGACGG
rnacentral:rRNA from 1 species